UACGUAGGGGGCAAGCGUUGUCCGGAAUCAUUGGGCGUAAAGCGCGUGUAGGCGGCUGGCUAAGUCCGCUGUGAAAGCCCGGGGCUCAACCCCGGGAGGCGGGUGGAUACUGGUCAGCUCGAGUCCGGAAGAGGAGUGUGGAAUUCCUGGUGUAGCGGUGAAAUGCGCAGAUAUCAGGAGGAACACCAAUGGCGAAGGCAGCACUCUGGGACGGUACUGACGCUGAGACGCGAAAGCGUGGGGAGCAAACAGG
rnacentral:rRNA from 1 species